rnacentral:lncRNA from 1 species
ACUCAUCAAGUGGGUCUGUGAACAUUGCUCUGCUGAUCUGAGACUAGGAUGUGGCACACCUGGGCUGAUUCAUUGGUUCCUUCUUCAGGGGAAAUGGCCACUCCCAAUCCGAGGGCUCCCUUCGCGGGGUGGGCUGUACGCCUUACCGCCCCCACACGGCUUGAGUCGUGCCCAAAUCGGCCAUCUCCGUGAACAGCUCCCUCGGCCAGUACCCGAUGCGCGCGUCACUGUCACCGAAGAGCAGCCGCCAGUUCCCCAAUCUGUUGUCCUGCAGGUUGGGAGACAGAAGAGGCUGGUCAAAAACACGCGAACUGGGGGCAAAGAGUACUAAUGGUCGUGCAAUAGUUGAUGUUUACUUGUGACGGUACAUGAAGGUCCUGAUUUUGGAGCACCGAUGAGGCUUUUCU